rnacentral:rRNA from 1 species
UAACAUAUACUGGUAGGGAAACGCCAUCGCUUCUAGGGCUCGUUCGAGGGCCGGGGUAGUGGCUUAUAAGACCGGUUCGGGCCGGCGUAGGAGCGGGUGCCGCCGUCGCCCGUCGCUCUGGGCAGGUUCGAGCGCAGGAGCUGGUGCCUGCCGCCGCUGCUUCUGGGGAAGGUUUAGGCGAAGGGCGUGCGCUAAGGACGUCCGGCAACCCUUGAAGUUGGGGUUGUAGGAGCCGAGGGGAGGGAGCUACUGCGGUUUCUUGCGCAGAGUUCGUCGCGGGCCGCAGAUGGGGUAAUAGUCGAGAAGGGCUUUGGAGAGGGGUUCCAUGAGACAGAGAUUCCAAGCAAGGUUAGAGUGGUAAAAUAAACUAACUCUACUCUCUCCCCAGUCCACCGUGCGCCACCGACAAGCACCAACGCACGACGAAUACAUGACACGUUAAAAUAAAAAAUAAAAAAACCUCUAUCAACGACGAGACACGAUCUUCCUCCCUACUUGUCUCCUCUUUGUCCUGUCCCGACCCACAACAGACGUGUGUCUCUAUAACUCUAUUAACCAUGAUAACAACAUCUUACAACACUACCUUUUUUUUUUAGAAGCUAGAGAACGUUUACUACAACCUAACUUACUAAAGAAAGUCAGUGUCCUCAGCAGGUUAUAGCACGAAGAAUAACCUUUUCUCAGGGACUAAAGCAUGUACGGUUGUUCUUUCUUCUGAUUGUCACCCAACAAUUCCACUCCUUAAAAAAUCGCACGUACGAAACAAGCAGGUCUAACCCACCACUCAAAACCCAUACUGUCACUCCUUACAAAAUCACACGUACGAAACAAGCAGGCCUGACCCACCACUCAAAACACAUACUGUCACUCCUUACAAAAUCACACGUACGAAACAAGCAGACCUAAAAUCACCGGUGACACAGCAGGUCCAACCCCUCCUACUGCCUCAGCCGUACCGACUUCUCCCACUUCGUCGACAACCCCAAUUCACAACGCUCAUUAAAAUGUCCUCACUCGAACGAGUCUUUAGACGCUGGCAACUUUGUACUUUAUGUACGUUUCUACCCCUUAUUAGUUGUACUACGAGACCAGCUCUCUUCAUCUUUAAUUAAUUCGAAGUUCUCCGACUCUGCUGAGAACAUCAUGAUUCUCCCUUUUAAUCAAGACCUUUGUGGCUAUAGAGACAUGAUAGAUAGAUACAAGUCGUUUCUUUAAGUAAAAGAAGGAAAGAGUAAGGAGAUAAAAAAUCGUCUGGUUCUACGUGUUUUCACGCCGGAUAUUAUUUGACUUUAUCUUCGUCCAUUGAUGUGAGAUCUCCAUAUGUACUUGUUCUCUUUUCUUCUCUUGUUACUAGUUACCUCUUUACGUGACGCGACAAUUGACGACGGUGAUAUUGUGACUUCAAAAUUAACGUCCUGUGGGUAUUUCUUUCUUUCUUCUGAACACGAUAGUCUUUGGUUAGCUUUUCCUCUUCCGUAUUUACGUCACCUACCUGAACUGUAAUUCGACGAAACAAUCUAUAUGGUCCUGCUUCCAAUUUUUAGUCUCCCGGAAUUGUAGAACGGUAUCAUAGAGUUCAGCGUGAUCUACUCUUACAAAGUACUACGUUUAUUGAACACAAUCCGUAAGAACAAAACACAAGUCAAAAUACGAAAUAAGAAGAUGAGCGAUCCUAUAUCAUGUUAAAACUUAACACUCUGAUCGUAGAUCUUAGCUAAAACUGGAGACUUUAAAACAAAUCGUCCGUCGGGGUCGACGAAAAUCACGUUUAGUGGCUCUCGAUUCCCAUAUAAACAGGAACGUAGUAACAUUAAAACUACAAAACGAGAUAAUAUUAAAUUAUAACGAACAAGGUAGAACUGUGAUAAUACAACACGGAUAUACACAAAGAAUACGACAAUGCUGCCCCACUGUUACACGGAUUAAACGACACACUGUACGUCGCACUAGCCACCCCCAACUUUCACACCGCUACGGUUACAGUCUCUGACUUGAACAAUCCAACCAUUCUUAAUAAAGUAUAAAGAGAUCGAAACUCUAACGCCGAAGUGAAGAUCAUAGUAUAGUUGAUAUUUACGUACACAACUAGUAUAUUAAUUACGCAUUUCUAUUGAGUGUUUUUUUAAUUACGCAUUUCUAUAGAAUGUGUUAUAAUUACACGUUAAUUGAAGGAGCGAUUAUAGUGUAUAUGUGUAAAUAACGUAAAUUAUAACAUAUAAAUAAUUACACAUAUAUAUUCUUCACACACCGUUCCUUUUUUUACACCGAACAGACCAAGCUGGCCUAGGUUCUAAAACCUGAGGAGCUAAUUUUUUUUCUUUCCAAAAUGUGAGAAGCCGCCGAGCGUUCGCGGAAGAGCCGUAGGUGAGCGGCCGGCCGGCGGCGGCAUAAAAAGAACCAGCCCGGCCGCGCCACAGCACGGCGCGGCACGACGGAGGGGUCCUAGCGUGGCCACCGGCACUGUCCUUUUCCGUUGGCUUUUGGUUGUUCUCGCCCCCUGUCCUUCUAUAGCCUCCGUCGACGGGGUUGGGAUCCAUGAGCGUCAUUUUCACAUGGUUUACCUGGUACCCUCAAGGGGUUGCUUCUAUACAUUCAGACAACACUUACUUCUAUAGUAGUCGUGAGAUGGACUUCGAGAGUCUCUGUUUUAGGAAACAACAGACGGUUAUUUUCUUCGACAACCUUGUACGGAGAACAGUUCCUGAACCUCCAUGUGUACCCGAAGUUACUGGCUUGACUACAAGUCCUCUCGACUAAAGCGAAGUCCUUUACUGUUACGUCUGCUACUGGCGUCUAAAGAAUUCAAGUGACUAUACAAAGAGAAGGAGGUGUUGCCGGGUUAAGACUUCAAACCGGACUUAUGGUAUCGCUUACUUUACCAUAGGUGACCUCCUGUGGAAAUGGCAACCUACGAAUACGACAGUUCUUUAUUCUAAUUCCUCUAAGUUGAAGUCUGUUCAUAUGCACUGUCAAUGUUCCAGGGCAGAUCAAAAAAGAGGACGCUACUUGAUCUUAUACACAUAGACGCUCGAACACAAAAGUGAUCAAAUGUAAACGGUGGAGGUAGAUUUCCGAAGUUUGUUAACGUAUGAGAAGCAGAUCUUAUACAGUGACACCUUCCUUUAUCAAAUCCCCUAAAUCAUCGCUCAACGGGCUUAAACCUCUUUGAAUUAUAAGCACCUAACAUGUCGUUUAGGUUAUAUUUAUAAGCAAGUUGUUUCGAGUUCCACGAUUUUUAACUUCCGACCAAAUGUGUGGAGUUAGACGUACGAGGAAUAGAAUGAAGGCAUACCUAGCCUAACCUUGACUUAAGACUGUGUCUACCACGAAGCUGUUGGUCUACGUUGAAGUUAGAAAGAGGUAAAUAACGAAGAGAAAGUCUACAACUCUGAUAAUCCAAAGUACCUGUGUAGGAACUCACGCAUCUUGUACUUAAAGACUAAGAGUUCGUCGGUUUUAAUAAGUUGGCCGACUGUCUCUAUUCGGACCUCUAGUUAGAGCCACUAGAGUUCCUUCGUUUAAAACGGAACACGAAUAAAGUCGUACGGGGGUUGGACGCUAAACAGUUUGAUUUCGAGUAAAGGUCCUUAAGGCACCAUGGUUGUCACGUAAAGACCCUUAGUUAUCUGGCACUACAGACAGAGAAGGUCUUGCAACUUCAUGAACCAAACAAGCUGAAAUGACCGAGGAGACGCCUCGAUUCGAAGAACUUUGAAAAUGAACUUCUACGUGGUCACAAUUCUUUUCACCCUUAUUAGCUGUUCCCUAACGUGUCUUUACAGGAUUUUAUAGAGGACUUCGACUCUUCUCGUAGUUCCCUACGUCUUUAUAACUAAGAAACUCCGAACGAAGGGGGUGAGCUUCUUCCUAGUUCAGGUUAGAGACUUCCUUGUUCAGUUCCGGUAACCCUCCUUGCCAUAGUUCGAACACAACCCUUGGAGAUUGCUGAGAUGACGAGAGCAAACCACGCUAGAACAUUCCGUGUUCGAGACUUCAAAUCCCACAUGUUCGUAUUCAAUAGGGGUAUUAAAAAAAAACUUGCUCGAAUAGGGGUAUUAAACUACAACUUCAAUGGGGCACAAGGACACCUUUUGUCACAACGGAGUCCUCAACGAAUGAACAACACAGUUUCAAGUCUUUAUUUUACAAACCGUCAAGUAUAACUAGACGCUUUUGCAGAAUGUAAAUCAUGGUCUCCCACAUGAAAUGAUCGAGCGCCAGCAAGACAAAAGUUGACAAACGCGGUAAACUCUUACGUCUUUAAAGGUGGACUGCGUGGUGAUAGAGAAAAAAACUGGCGGAACCCAGCAUGAUCUUCAAGAAGUCAGCCCACAGUAGACAGUUCAAGUCAAACAAAUGUAACCCAGACGCCAUUACUCGUUUUCCUCCUGGUAGACGAAUUGGGCUCUAUAAAAAAUGGAUUGGAUAAACUGGACUGAUAAAAACGUGCGGAAUAUUGCGCAUCACUUAAUAUC